CUCCUGGGCAUUGGCCAGAUUGUCGACGGCGAUAGCCAAGAAGACGUUCAGCAGGGUGUAGUUGCCAAAGAGCACGAGGACGAUGAAGUAUAUCCUCACCGGUCAGGAUCUUCAACAGGAAAACAAUAUCAUUUUUCACACCUUCGAACAACAAUCAUGUUACACCCUCCGUUCGGAGAACGUUCUACGUUUGGAAUUCUGACGUGCCUCUAUGAAUAGCAGAAAUCUUCUUGAUCGGAGUUUUUCAUUCGAGUGCGCGUUUCACCAACGACGAAUAAAAAAAAGUCGAGAGAGAAAUGACUCACUUGGAAGACAGUUAGCAACGCGAUGGGAAACGUGUUGAAGUUGGUUGGUGGCGUGCCCUGCGAAAAGUUGAACU